rnacentral:tRNA from 1 species
CAGCGACUAGUUUAACAAAACAGCUAGUUUCGGCCUAGUAAAUCUCAGCCCCUGCCGAGGUCGCUUU